rnacentral:rRNA from 1 species
CCCUUAGAUGUUCUGGGCCGCACGCGCGCUACACUGACGAAUGCAACGAGCUUAUAACCUUGGCCGAAAGGUCUGGGUAAUCUCCAAAUUUCGUCGUGAUGGGGAUAGAUUAUUGCAAUUAUUAAUCUUCAACGAGGAAUGCCUAGUAAACGCAAGUCAUCAGCUUGCAUUGAUUACGUCCCUGCCCUUUGUACACACCGCCCGUCGCACCUACCGAUUGAAUGGUCCGGUGAAAUCUCGGGACGGCGGCUUGGUCGCUUGCGUCCGACUGCUGAAACUUGAUUAAACCAUAUCAUUUAGAGGAAGGUGAANUCGUAACA